GACAUAGGUUGCGAACGUUAUCCGGAAUUAUUGGGCGUAAAGGAUGCGUAGAUGGCUUGAUAAGUUAUCAGUGGCAAAUCGGGGGCUUUAACCUCGUGGAAGCUGGUAAUACUGUCAUGCUCGAGUACAGGAGAGGUUAACGGAACUCUAUGUGGAGCGGUAAAAUGUGACGUAUAUAGAAGAACACCAACAGGCGAAAAGCAGUUAACUAUUCUGUUACUGACAUUUGAGGCAUGAAAAGCGUGGGGG
rnacentral:rRNA from 1 species